CAAACUCUCGAGAAGACAAUUUCAACAGCCACAGACAAAUGGACCUCAAAAUGCUGAAAUGCCAACAUUUUGAAAAAGAGAGAUUCAGGAACGAUGACCCCUGAAUGGAGACCAAACUAACCUUUCCUUCGAGGAGAAAUCUCUGG